rnacentral:rRNA from 1 species
GACGAACGCUGCGGCGUGCCUAAUACAUGCAAGUAGAACGCUGAAGGAGGAGCUUGCUUCUCUGGAUGAGUUGCGAACGGGUGAGUAACGCGUAGGUAACCUGCCUGGUAGCGGGGGAUAACUAUUGGAAACGAUAGCUAAUACCGCAUAAAAUUGAUUAUUGCAUGAUAGUCAAUUAAAAGGUGCAAUUGCAUCACUACCAGAUGGACCUGCGUUGUAUUAGCUAGUUGGUGAGGUAACGGCUCACCAAGGCAACGAUACAUAGCCGACCUGAGAGGGUGAUCGGGCCACACUGGGACUGAGACACGGGCCCAGACUCCUACGGGGAGGCAGCAGU